CCUCUCCGUGACGAUGAAGUCAUUGCCUACCUCUUGGCUGGUCUUGGUGCGGAUUAUGACCCGUUUGUUACUUCCAUGACCACCAAGAGCGAGCCUCUCACCCUGGAUGAUGUGUACUCCUAUCUCAUGGCGUUUGAAGC